GACGAACGCUGGCGGCGUGCUUAACACAUGCAAGUCGAACGGCAAGGCCCUUCGGGGUACACGAGUGGCGAACGGGUGAGUAACACGUGGGUGAUCUGCCCUGCACUUCGGGAUAAGCCUGGGAAACUGGGUCUAAUACCGGAUAGGACCACUGCCUGCAUGGGUGGUGGUGGAAAGCUUUUGCGGUGUGGGAUGGGCCCGCGGCCUAUCAGCUUGUUGGGGGGGUGAUGGCCUACCAAGGCGAAGACGGGUAGCCGGCCCGAGCGGGUGACCGGCCGCACGUGGACUGGGAAACGGCCCAGACUCCUACGGGAGGCAGCAGUGGGGAAUAUUGCACAAUGGGCGCAAGCCUGAUGCAGCGACGCCGCGUGAGGGAUGACGGCCUUCGGGUUGUAAACCUCUUUCAGCACCGACGAAGCGCAAGUGACGGUAGGUGCAGAAGAAGGACCGGCCAACUACGUGCCAGCAGCCGCAGUAAAAC
rnacentral:rRNA from 1 species